rnacentral:misc_RNA from 1 species
UACAGAGACCUCAAGCGUUAUCCGGAUUUAUUGGGCGUAAAGGGUCCGUAGGCGGUAAUGCAAGUCCGUUGUGAAAUACCUUGGGCUCAACCUAAGGAACGCAAUGGAAACUGCAUCACUAGAGGAUGUCAUGGGCAAAUGGAACGCACGGUGUAGGAGUGAAAUCCGUUGAUAUCGUGCGGAACACCAAAAGCGAAGGCAGUUUGCUGGGGCAAUCCUGACGCUGAGGGACGAAAGCGUGGGUAGCAAAAAGG